rnacentral:lncRNA from 1 species
GUAGAGCGUUUCCUGCUCGCAGAGCUCGAGCACCAUCGCGAGCGAGUCCUCGGUCUCGAAGACGUUAAAGAGCUUGAGAACGUUGGGGUGCGGAGACAAAAGGGUCAUUAUCUUGGGCUCCUUCUCGAGGCACGCGCGGUCGGUUUCGUCGGUAAGGACCGAUUUGUCGAUGAUCUUGCAUGCGACGAACUCGGCCGAAUCCGGCGAGAAGGCUCGUACGAUCGUGCCGAACCGGCCGCGGCCGAUUUCUUCGAAGAGCUGGUAGGAGUUCUUCAAUGUGUCGUACAUUUGGGGGGAUUUUUCGAUUAAGGCCGUGUUUGGGUGGUGAAGUUUUGGGCUUUUUUUUGUUGUUGCAG